UUGUUCGAUAAUUCUUUUCCUUGGUUAAAUCUUGCUGAGCAGCGUGUUGCGUCUAUUGCCACUGUGAAGCUGAGGAAGCAUCUUGAGAUCAGCAUGAAAAAUGACAGUUUAGGCCAGCUUUCACGCACGUGUCACCUCCCACCAGCAACAGAUAUCAAGUUACUCUGUCCCCCAAGGUUAGGGCAGAUGGGAAGAAUUACCUAGUGUUUUUUUGUCUAUGUUGAGAUUUGAAUUUGAGAACUUCUGGUUCUCAACCCACUUCAUUGACCACUAGGCCACACCCUUGGGUGUAUAUCUGGACUACAAUCUAGACUAAACCUCCGAGUAGACUCUGCAGUAUCAACAACCAUCGGCACGGUCAUUCAAGAAUCAUGUGGCGCGACGAAAGGUGUUUCCCUUACUUCUGGAACAGGGGGAAUUCCAUGUUAUUAAGGUGUCAAGGCGCUCACUUUGAUCAUUCAAUUGACUCUUUUCUGCCAGUCCGUGCUUGAUGUCAUGCUGGCAAGAGCAGUGAAGUCGGUCGGUUAAACCUAAUAUUGGAUUUUUCCAGAUCAAUUCUUUGCUGCAAUCACUUUGAUCCACCUAAAUUCUUUAGGUUUUCUUUGAGUAAUUGGCUUGCUUGAUAUCUAUGAAGGAUGAUUUGCUGCAGAUGGAGCAUACAACUCUAAUGGAACCCAAAGGUACAUGUGAAUAAAAGUUAUUUAAUGGAACACACAAAAGAACAUAUUGUUUUGACGAGGCUCGACGAUUAUUUGGGAAGUGAAAAGUUUCAAAGAUCUCUGCUCAAGUCGAGAACGGCAAACUAUUGAAGUUUUGAGUGGUACUUGUUCUCAUGUUGGAUGGUACAUCAAUCAAGACUAUGGAUGUGAUAACUUGUAUUGUUGGCUUUUGGUUUUGGAUAAUUAGGCUCGCACGACUGUAAAAUGUAUCACAAGGGUCUAAGGCUUGCUUCUUUGUAUACUAAGAAUCAACGUCUCUUAUGUGUUUUGUUUUAUUGAUGUGACAAUGGCUUUCUUGUUUUA